rnacentral:rRNA from 1 species
AACGUACGCUGGCGGCACGCCUAACACAUGCAAGUCGAACGAAGUAGCAAUACUUAGUGGCAGACGGGUGAGUAACAUGUAGGUAUCUGCCCUUUGGCCUGGAAUAACACGAGGAAACUUGUGCUAAUACCGGAUAAGUCUUUACGGAGAAAGCUUUAUGCACCAUUGGAUGAGCCUGCACUUGAUUAGUUUGUUGGUGGGGUAAUGGCCUACCAAGACUGUGAUCAAUAGCUGAUUUGAGAGGAUGAUCAGCCACAUUGGGACUGAGACACGGCCCAAACUCCUACGGGAGGCAGCAGUGGGGAAUCUUGCACAAUGGAGGAAACUCUGAUGCAGCGAUGCCGCGUGAGUGAAGAAGGCCCUUGGGUUGUAAAGCUCUUUCGUCGGGAAAGAAAAUGACUGUACCCGAAUAAGAAGGUCCGGCUAACUUCGUGCCAGCAGCCGCGGUAAUACGAAGGGACCUAGCGUAGUUCGGAAUUACU